CACAUUAAACGGCAUUCGGAGGGAGGGUUAGUAGGAUAUGAGGAUUUCAUGGAGACAAAGAUAAACAAGUUUGAUUUUGGCAAGGAUUGUUGAAGAAUUGAAGAAAAAAAUUGAUGGUUGGCAUCUAUUUCGGCGUCAAGUAAAGAGGGAUGGAGGAUAAUCAGUUCAGAUUUUCUGGGGAAGCCCCAAAUUAUGAGAGAGAGAGAAGGAGGUGAGAAAUUUCGUUAGAGGGAGACGAAGUCGCAGACUCGGGGUGAGGUGAUGCAGACAGCAGACUCGGCGUAGAUUAAUAAGGUUUAGACCAAGCCUUAUGGACCGUCGAAAUACAUCAUGGAGGUGAACUACUAGACUUAGGUUAUGGGCACAAGAUAUAUUCUGGUGGUAGUGUGGUUUGGGUAGACAAUAUAAAUCGGGACUACACGUCAAAAUUUGAUUUUGAUGACUUUGCUAAAGCAUUGGGAUACCGAGAACCUCUAGAAUAUUACUAUAGAGUGCCAGGUACAGAGUGCAAAUAUGGGGUGGAAAGUAAGGUGGUUGGCAUUGCAGAUAAUGUUGGGUUUAAUAGCAUGUUUGAUAACAUGCCCCGUAGUAGAGUUGUUAUUUAUUUUUUCUCGCGGCAUCUGCCAGCCAUCAAUCUGUGACCCUUUUAUCGAAGCAGUGGAAGAGCCUGACAAUAAGCUUGUUGAUUCAGAUUAUGAUGAUGAGCAAAAAUACUUUCAAACCUCUCUUUUGGUCUA